UACGAAGGGGGCUAGCGUUGUUCGGAAUUACUGGGCGUAAAGGGCGCGUAGGCUGUGCUGUAAGUCAGGCGUGAAAGGCCCGGGCUCAACCUGGGAAUGGCGCAUGAUACUGCGGCGCUGGAAGGCGGGAGAGGAUGGCGGAAUUCCCAGUGUAGAGGUGAAAUGCGUAGAUAUUGGGAAGAACACCGAUGGCGAAGGCAGCCAUCUGGACCGACACUGACGCUGAGGCGCGAAAGCGUGGGGAGCAAACAGG
rnacentral:rRNA from 1 species